UACGUAGGUGGCAAGCGUUGUCCGGAUUUAUUGGGUUUAAAGGGUGCGUAGGCGGCUUUGUAAGUCAGUGGUGAAAUACGGUAGCUUAACUAUCGAGGUGCCAUUGAUACUGCAGAGCUUGAGUACAGAUGAGGUAGGCGGAAUUGACGGUGUAGCGGUGAAAUGCUUAGAUAUCGGGAGGAAUACCAGUGGCGCAAGCGGCGCUGGCCGUGACCUGACACUGAGCCACGCGGCCAGGGGAGCGAACGGG
rnacentral:rRNA from 1 species